AGAGUUUGAUUAUGGCUCAGGAUGAACGUUGGCUGUGUGCCUAAGGUAUGCAAGUCGAACGAACCCUUUGAAACUUCGGUUGAUGUGGGUUAGUGGCAAACGGGUGAGUAACACGUGGAUAACCUGCCUUGAAGUCAUGAACAGCUCAUCGAAAGAUGGGAUAAUACAUGAUAGUCUUACAUCUUCUUUAGAUCUUGUAAGUAAAGUUACGGCGCUUCAAGAGGGGUCCGCGUCCUAUCAGCUAGUUGGUGAGGUAAUAGCUCACCAAGGCUAAGACGGGUAGCUGGCGUGAGAGCGCGGUCAGCCACCAUGGAACUGAGACACGGUCCAUACUCCUACGGGAGGCAGCAAUUAGGAAUCUUGCGCAAUGGGGGCAACCCUGACGCAGCGACACAGCGUGGAGGAAGAAGGUCUUCGGAUUGUAAACUCCUUUUAUAUGGGAAGAAUAGAUGACGGUACCAUAUGAAUAAGCACCUGCUAACUACGUGCCAGAAGCAUCGGUAAUGCGUAGGGUGCAAACGUUAUCCGGAUUUAUUGGGUGUAUAGAGAGCGUAGGCGUUUUUGUAAGUCUUUAGUUAAAGACCACGGCUCAACCGUGGAAGAGCUUCGGAUACUGCAAAAAUUGAGACAGGAAGAGGCGAACAGAAUUUCCAGUGGAGCGGUGAAAUGCGUUGAUACUGGGAGGAAUAUCAGUGGCGAAGGCGGUUCGCUGGUCCUUGUCUGACGCUAAGGCUCGAAAGCGUGGGUAGCAAAACGGAUUAGAUACCCGUGUAGUCCACGCUGUAAACUAUGGAUGCUAGGUGUUCGGUAUAUUCGAGUAUUGAGUGCCGCAGUUAACACGUUAAGCAUCCCACCUGGGAAGUACGGCCGCAAGGCUAAAACUCAAAUGAAUUGGCGGGGACCCGCACAAGCGGAGGAGCGCGUGGUUUAAUUCGACGGCAAUCGAAGAACCUUACCAGGGUUUGACAUGUAUCGCAUGCCCCCGGAAACGGGGGAGCCUUAGGGGUGAUACACAGGUGCUGCAUGGCCGCCGUCAGCUCGUGUCGUGAGAUGUAGGGUUAAGUCCCGAAACGAGCGCAACCCCUAUCCUAUGUUACAAGUGUCUUAGGAAACUGCCUCGGUAAACGAGGAGGAAGGUGGGGAUGACGUCUGGUCCGCAUAGCCCUUAUGUCCUGGGCUACACACGCGCUACAAUGGCCGAUACAGUAGGGUGCCAAAUCGUAAGAUGGAGCAAAUCCUCAAAGUCGGUCUCAGUUCGAAUUGAGGUCUGAAACUCGACCUCAUGAAGUUGGAUUCGCUAGUAAUCGUAGAUCAGCCAUGCUACGGUGAAUACGUUCUCGGGUCUUGCACACACC
rnacentral:rRNA from 1 species